GAGUUUGAUCCUGGCUCAGAUUGAACGCUGGCGGCAGGCCUAACACAUGCAAGUCGAGCGGUAGAGAGAAGCUUGCUUCUCUUGAGAGCGGCGGACGGGUGAGUAAUGCCUAGGAAUCUGCCUGGUAGUGGGGGAUAACGCUCGGAAACGGACGCUAAUACCGCAUACGUCCUACGGGAGAAAGCAGGGGACCUUCGGGCCUUGCGCUAUCAGAUGAGCCUAGGUCGGAUUAGCUAGUUGGUGAGGUAAUGGCUCACCAAGGCGACGAUCCGUAACUGGUCUGAGAGGAUGAUCAGUCACACUGGAACUGAGACACGGUCCAGACUCCUACGGGAGGCAGCAGUGGGGAAUAUUGGACAAUGGGCGAGAGCCUGAUCCAGCCAUGCCGCGUGUGUGAAGAAGGUCUUCGGAUUGUAAAGCACUUUAAGUUGGGAGGAAGGGCAGUAAAUUAAUACUUUGCUGUUUUGACGUUACCGACAGAAUAAGCACCGGCUAACUCUGUGCCAGC
rnacentral:rRNA from 1 species